GGGGAAUAUUGGACAAUGGGGGAAACCCUGAUCCAGCCAUGCCGCGUGAGUGAGGAAGGCCUUAGGGUUGUAAAGCUCUUUCACCCGUGACGAUGAUGACGGUAGCGGGAGAAGAAGCCCCGGCUAACUCCGUGCCAGCAGCCGCGGUAAGGCGGAGGGGGCUAGCGUUGUUCGGAAUUACUGGGCGUAAAGCGCGCGUAGGCGGCCGGUCAAGUUAGGCGUGAAAGGCCUGGGCUCAACCUGGGAACGGCGCUUAAGACUGAUCGGCUGGAGUCCGGGAGAGGGUGGUGGAAUUCCCAGUGUAGAGGUGAAAUUCGUAGAUAUUGGGAGGAACACCAGUGGCGAAGGCGGCCACCUGGCCCGGCACUGACGCUGUGGCGCGAAAGCGUGGGGAGCAAACAGGAUUAGAUACCCUGGUAGUCCACGCCGUAAACGAUGAGUGCUAGAUGCUGGGGGGUUUACCCUUCGGUGUCGCAGCUAACGCGUUAAGCACUCCGCCUGGGGAGUACGGCCGCAAGGUUA
rnacentral:rRNA from 1 species